UGACCAGGACUAUGGAAUAGACACCUGAGC
rnacentral:piRNA from 1 species